UACGGAGGAUGCGAGCGUUAUCCGGAUUUAUUGGGUUUAAAGGGUGCGUAGGCGGGUUAUCAAGUCAGCGGUAAAAUACGGGGGCUCAACCUCCGCCCGCCGUUGAAACUGACGGUCUUGAGUGGGCGAGAAGUAUGCGGAAUGCGUGGUGUAGCGGUGAAAUGCAUAGACAUCACGCAGAACUCCGAUCGCGAAGGCAAGUGUCCGGGGUGCAACUGACGCUGAGGCUCGAAAGUGCGGGUAUCAAACAGG
rnacentral:rRNA from 1 species